rnacentral:ncRNA from 1 species
ACAAAGGUAAUGACAGGAAGAGUAGCUUGUUUCCAAGGCAGAGAGAGAGAAUGGCUGGUGUAAAUUCUCAUGAAGAACAAGUGAACAUGGCCCUGGAACCGUUUUUCUGAAUAAUUAGGGAAAACCGCAGGUCGGCGUUAACGGCAAAUGAGGUGUGCGCGUAUGCGUGCAUGAAUAAAGGUGGUAACACGAAGCUUUCGUCCUUUGG